UCGCAAUCCGCAAACCGGUGCAGCCGUAACGCGGAAGGUUUAUCAACCCACUACAACGCCGGAAACCGGUGUGAAAGGUGAGCG
rfam:Rhizobacter sp. Root1221 contig_1, whole genome shotgun sequence.